GGACCCAGCAAUGUGGCCUUUGGAAGAGUGU
rnacentral:piRNA from 1 species